GCAGGUUUCGCCUGAGUUGUACAAUGAUUCUCAUACUCACUUCUACACGCCUUGGACGACCGGCACUGGCAAGAGUUGCACAAACAUGCUUUGCCCUGGCUUUCACAAAAUAUCAUCAAGCAUAGCUCCAGGGAUGAUCCUCGACAAAGUUUCAGGAAUACAUGGACCAAAAUGGUUUAUAACACUAAGAGUAUUCAAGGAGAAAUCUUCUGGUGAUUGGCAUGUCUACCUAUACAAAGAUAAUGGUAUUCAAGAACUAGUAGGUUACUUUCCAAAGUAUUUGGUUCCAGGACUCAUAAAUAAACAAGUUGAGAUAAGUUUUAGUGGCUAUGUGUAUCACAAGAAACCACAACCGAGUCCUCCAAUGGGUAGCGGUUAUGUUAUAGCCAGCGGGAGUGCGGCAUCAUUCAACAACCUAAGGCUUAUCGAUGCUCAUGGUAAUGAUCAUGUUGUCAAUACUGAUCUGCCAUCUUAUAUUGACGGGAAGGGUUGUUACACUCCUUCACACAUUUACGCUUCAUCUAGAUUCUUUUAUGGGGGAGGUGGUU